rnacentral:rRNA from 1 species
CAAUACACUGGCGGCGACCUGCAAACGGGUGCGGAACACGUACGCAACCUUCCUCAGAGCGGGGGAUAGCCUCUCGAAAGAGAGAUUAAUACCCCAUAGCAUCGUCAGAAGGCAUCUGAUAGACGAUUAAAGCUCCGGCACUUUGAGAUGGGCGUGCGUCUGAUUAGGUAGUUGGUAGGGUAACGGCCUACCAAGCCGACGAUCAGUAGCUGAUGUGAGAGCAUGAUCAGCCACACGGGCACUGAGACACGGGCCCGACUCCUACGGGAGGCGGCAGUGAGGAAUAUUGGUCAAUGGAGGCAACUCUGAACCAGCCAUGCCGCGUGAAGGAUGAAGGUCCUCUGGAUUGUAAACUUCUUUUAUAGAAGAAGAAACCCCAUUUUUCUAAGUGGGUUGACGGUACUCUAUGAAUAAGCACCGGCUAACUCCGUGCCAGCAGCCGCGGUAAUACGGAGGGUGCAAGCGUUAUCCGGAUUCACUGGGUUUAAAGGGAGCGUAGGUGGGCUUGUAAGUCAGUGGUGAAAUCUCCGAGCUUAACUUGGAAACUGCCAUUGAUACUACUCGUCUUGAAUUCUGUGGAGGUAAGCGGAAUAUAUCAUGUAGCGGUGAAAUGCUUAGAUAUGAUAUAGAACACCGAUAGCGAAGGCAGCUUACUACGCAGAUAUUGACACUGAGGCUCGAAAGCGUGGGGAUCAAACAGGAUUAGAUACCCUGGUAGUCCACGCCCUAAACUAUGGAUACUCGACAUCAGCGAUACACAGUUGGUGUCUGAGCGAAAGCAUUAAGUAUCCCACCUGGGAAGUACGUCCCGCAGGAUGAAACUCAAAGGAAUUGGCGGGGGUCCGCACAAGCGGUGGAGC